rnacentral:rRNA from 1 species
AAGGCCUUCGGGUUGUAAAGCCCUUUUGAUUGGGAAAGAAAUCCAGCCGGCUAAUACCUGGUUGGGAUGACGGUACCCAAAGAAUAAGCACCGGCUAACUUCGUGCCAGCAGCCGCGGUAAUAA